UACGGAGGGUGCAAGCGUUAUCCGGAUUCACUGGGUUUAAAGGGUGCGUAGGCGGGCAGGUAAGUCAGUGGUGAAAUCUCCGAGCUUAACUCGGAAACUGCCGUUGAUACUAUUUGUCUUGAAUAUUGUGGAGGUAAGCGGAAUAUGUCAUGUAGCGGUGAAAUGCUUAGAUAUGACAUAGAAUACCUAUUGCGAAGGCAGCUUACUACGCAGAUAUUGACGCUCAUGCACGAAAGCGUGGGGAUCAAACAGG
rnacentral:rRNA from 1 species